rnacentral:lncRNA from 1 species
AUGCCAACCCUGCAGACAGCAGCUCUACCCACUACACCACAGUGCCGGCCCCAUCACACUAUUCUUGGCAUGGCUUUUCCCAGGGAUUACGUUGGUCCAGAGAGGGAGGAAGUAGACCACUGUCCUGAGCGGAGAGCGUGCAAUGCAUUCUCCAAAGUGGGAAGACUUCUAAAUGGAGCCGAGCAGACAAAGCCGUGGCGACAGUGUCAGCAGGGCAGAGGAACGCCGUAUUUCAGCCGUGCGCCAGACAGCACGCGACGGCCACACGCGCUCAUCUCCUUCGCAGUCUCAGCCAGUGCACGGUACCGCGAGAGAGGUCGUCGGUACUUCUCUGUUCUCCUCGUUUAUUCCACGUGGUGUCUUCUGAGCUGCCCUCGUGCACCUGGCCCAUCUCCGAUCGACACCCGGAAGAGCCAGCAGCUUCCUUGCCGCACCCCUUCCUCCCCAGCCCCCGUCUUCCCAGUGCAUUGCAGCAGAGAGCCCUACAGGGCGCGAUGACCACGGAGUGUCUCGUCACCGGCACCGCCACAGGUAACCAGCGUGGGGGAAGACACGUGGCGCAUCUCCUAGGAUACCCCUGCUAACCAGAACUGUUAAACAUGAAAGCGGAUUUGGGCUCCUGGGGAGAGGAUGAGAGUCUCCUGUUUAAUUAGAUGGAGCAAGAAAAAGGCUUUUUUUUUUUUUUUUCCCCAGCAUGUUUCCGAAGCUGGAGUUGGCCUUUGUCCAUCCACAACACUAAGCUGUGUCUAGGACGUGGGGAAAGUCUCGGUUCAGCCGUCACCGGCUCAGGUUCAAGUUGGAGGAUGCUGUGAGGUGCUGGGGACCGUGCAGCCCCCAGGUCGCCAAGGCAGGCAGUCCGGCCCUGUGGUUUGCGCCAGUGUCUGAUGCCAACGCGCCCAGCACCGCCGGUGUCAAGCUCCUGAGGUUGGGAUGGAAUGUGCAGAGCCUCACGCACGGAACCAGCUGUGGUGCAGCUUCCUGACUCUGUGAUGCAAAUAAAAACCUGAGCCCUUCAUUUUAAGGACA